CGAGUCGGCAGGGCGACCGCAGUGGGCAGUGCCGUUGGCGCUGGCGAUUGAGGAAAGUCCGGACUCCGCAGGGCAGGGUGGUUGUUAACGGCAACCCGGGGCGACCCGCGGGACAGUGCCACAGAGAACAGACCGCCUGGUGCAAGCCAGGUAAGGGUGAAACGGUGGUGUAAGAGACCACCAGCACCCCGGGUGACCGGGGUGGCUCGGUAAACCCCACCCGGAGCAAGGCCAAGAGGGAGCCGCACGCGGCUCCUGCGCAGGCGAUCGAGGGCGGCCCGCCCGAGUCUGCGGGUAGGCCGCACGAGCCCGUCGGCGACGGCGGGCCAAGAUGGAUGGUCGCCUGAGACAGAAUCCGGCUUACGGCCGGCUCGUCCG
rnacentral:RNase_P_RNA from 1 species